GACGAACGCUGGCGGCGCACCUAAGACAUGCAAGUCGGACGGGGGCCUCUUCGGGGGCCCCAGUGGCGGACGGGUGAGUAACACGUACGGGACCUGCCCCCCGGUGGGGGAUAGCCCCGGGAAACCGGGGGUAAGCCCGCAUGCGCCCGAUCGGAUAGGGCCGGUCGGGGAAAUGCGCGAGCAGCCGGGGGAGGGCCGUGCGGCGGAUUAGCUAGUCGGCGGGGUAGUGGCCCACCGAGGCGACGAUCCGUAGCUGGUCUGAGAGGAUGAUCAGCCA
rnacentral:rRNA from 1 species